UGGUUCAGACAUAAAAGGUGGCUUCGGCUACCACUUACAGAUGGACCCGCGGCGCAUUAGCUAGUUGGUGAGGUAACGGCUCACCAAGGCGACGAUGCGUAGCCGACCUGAGAGGGUGAUCGGCCACACUGGGACUGAGACACGGCCCAGACUCCUACGGGAGGCAGCAGUAGGGAAUCUUCCGCAAUGGACGAAAGUCUGACGGAGCAACGCCGCGUGAGUGAUGAAGGUUUUCGGAUCGUAAAGCUCUGUUGUUAGGGAAGAACAAGUGCCGUUCAAAUAGGGCGGCACCUUGACGGUACCUAACCAGAAAGCCACGGCUAACUACGUGCCAGCAGCCGCGGUAAUACGUAGGUGGCAAGCGUUGUCCGGAAUUAUUGGGCGUAAAGGGCUCGCAGGCGGUUUCUUAAGUCUGAUGUGAAAGCCCCCGGCUCAACCGGGGAGGGUCAUUGGAAACUGGGGAACUUGAGUGCAGAAGAGGAGAGUGGAAUUCCACGUGUAGCGGUGAAAUGCGUAGAGAUGUGGAGGAACACCAGUGGCGAAGGCGACUCUCUGGUCUGUAACUGACGCUGAGGAGCGAAAGCGUGGGGAGCGAACAGGAUUAGAUACCCUGGUAGUCCACGCCGUAAACGAUGAGUGCUAAGUGUUAGGGGGUUUCCGCCCCUUAGUGCUGCAGCUCACGCAUUAAGCACUCCGCCUGGGGAGUACGGUCGCAAGACUGAAACUCAAAGGAAUUGACGGGGGCCCGCACAAGCGGUGGAGCAUGUGGUUUAAUUCGAAGCAACGCGAAGAACCUUACCAGGUCUUGACAUCCUCUGACAAUCCUAGAGAUAGGACGUCCCCUUCGGGGGCAGAGUGACAGGUGGUGCAUGGUUGUCGUCAGCUCGUGUCGUGAGAUGUUGGGUUAAGUCCCGCAACGAGCGCAACCCUUGAUCUUAGUUGCCAGCAUUCAGUUGGGCACUCUAAGGUGACUGCCGGUGACAAACCGGAGGAAGGUGGGGAUGACGUCAAAUCAUCAUGCCCC
rnacentral:rRNA from 1 species